rnacentral:rRNA from 1 species
CCUACGGGGGGCUGCAGUGGGGAAUAUUGGACAAUGGGGGGAACCCUGAUCCAGCCAUGCCGCGUGUGUGAAGAAGGCCCUCGGGUUGUAAAGCACUUUCAGUGAGGAAGAACGCCUGGUGGUUAAUACCCAUCAGGAAAGACAUCACUCACAGAAGAAGCACCGGCUAACUCCGUGCCAGCAGCCGCGGUAAUACGGAGGGUGCGAGCGUUAAUCGGAAUUACUGGGCGUAAAGCGCGCGUAGGUGGCUUGAUAAGCCGGUUGUGAAAGCCCCGGGCUCAACCUGGGAAUGGCAUCCGGAACUGUCAAGCUAGAGUGCAGGAGAGGAAGGUAGAAUUCCCGGUGUAGCGGUGAAAUGCGUAGAGAUCGGGAGGAAUACCAGUGGCGAAGGCGGCCUUCUGGACUGACACUGACACUGAGGUGCGAAAGCGUGGGUAGCAAACAGGAUUAGAUACCCCGGUAGUC